rnacentral:rRNA from 1 species
GAUGAACGCUGGCGGCGUGCCUAAUACAUGCAAGUCGAGCGAACAGACGAGGAGCUUGCUCCUCUGACGUUAGCGGCGGACGGGUGAGUAACACGUGGAUAACCUACCUAUAAGACUGGGAUAACUUCGGGAAACCGGAGCUAAUACCGGAUAAUAUAUUGAACCGCAUGGUUCAAUAGUGAAAGACGGUUUUGCUGUCACUUAUAGAUGGAUCCGCGCCGCAUUAGCUAGUUGGUAAGGUAACGGCUUACCAAGGCAACGAUGCGUAGCCGACCUGAGAGGGAGAGGGGAAACAAGGGAAAGAAGACACGGACGAAACACAGGGGGGAGGAGAGAGGGGGGAGUCUCCAAAAAGGGGAAAAGGCGGGAAGGAGCACAGCGGGGGGAGGGAGGAGGGUAUGAGAAUAAAAAAACUCUUUAAUAAGGGAAAAAAAAAUGGGAAAAAAACAAGACACGUCUGAAGGAACCAAAACAAGAAAACCAGGCAAAAAACGGGC